rnacentral:sRNA from 1 species
GUUGGGCACCAUAGCAUCGCCUGUAAUCCCAGCUACAGGUGGCUGAGGCAGGAGGAUCACUUGUGUCCAAGAUUCAAGGCUGGCAUGGGCAGCAUAGCCAGACCCUGUCUCUU